CUACGGGACGCAGCAGUAGGGAAUAUUGCGCAAUGGGCGAAAGCCUGACGCAGCGACGCCGCGUGAGUGAUGAAGGUCCUCUGGAUUGUAAAGCUCUGUAAGGAGGGAAGAACCGCCUGGUGUAACGGCCAGGUCUGACGGUACCUCCAAAGUAAGCACCGGCUAAAUAAGUGCCAGCAGCCGCGGUAAUACUUAUGGUGCGAGCGUUGUCCGGAAUGACUGGGCGUAAAGGGUGCGUAGGCGGACUUUCAAGUCAGGUGUGAAAUCCCCGGGCUUAACCUGGGAACUGCGCUUGAAACUGGAAGUCUAGAGUAUGUGAGGGGUUAGCGGAAUUCCCGGAGUAGCGGUGAAAGGCGUAGAGAUCGGGAAGAACACCGGUGGCGAAGGCGGCUAACUGGCACAUGACUGACGCUGAGGCACGAAAGCGUGGGGAGCGAACGGGAUUAGAUACCCUCGUAGUC
rnacentral:rRNA from 1 species